rnacentral:piRNA from 2 species
AUGAGUAGGCGACACAAGUU